UCGGGAACAUAUUUUUAAAUC
rnacentral:piRNA from 1 species